UUUUCACUUAAAUGGGGGAUUCUCGAAGAGAAAACGCGUAAUUUUUGCUUAAAUGGGGGAUUUCUGAUGAGAAACCGUGUGAUUUUUGCUUAAAUGGGGGUUUCUGAAGAGGAAACACGACAUUUUCGCUAAAAUGGGGGAUUUCCGAAGAGAAAACGCAUGAUAUUUGCUUAAAUGUGGGAUUCUCGGAGAUAAAGAGCGUGGUAUCCGAUUAAAAGGGGGAUUUCCGAAAAGAAAACUCGUGAUUUUUGCUUAAAUGGGGGAUUUCCGAAGAUAAAACGCGUGAUUUUCGCUAAAAUGGGGGAUUUCCGAAGAGAAAACGCGUGAUAUUUGCUUAAAUGUGGGAUUCUCAGAGAUAAAACACGUGAUAUCCGAUUAAAAGGGGGAUUUCCGAAAAGAAAACCCGUGAUUUUUGCUUAAAUGGGGAAUUUCCGAAGAGAAAACGCAUGAUAUUCGCUUA
rnacentral:lncRNA from 1 species